rnacentral:rRNA from 1 species
AGCUCUCCGAGUGGUGUGGAUGUUUAUUGGGCCUAAAGCAUCCGUAGCUGGCUAAGUUAGUCCCUUGUUAAAUCCACCGAAUUAAUCGUUGGAUUGCGGGGGAUACUGCUUGGCUAGGGGACGAGAGAGGCAGACGGUAUUUUUUGGGGUAGGGGUGAAAUCCUAUAAUCCCAGGAAGACCACCAGUGGCGAAGGCUGUCUGCUAGAACGCGCCCGACGGUGAGGGAUGAAAGCUGGGGGAGCGAACC